rnacentral:rRNA from 1 species
GGACGAACGCUGGCGGCGUGCCUAAUACAUGCAAGUCGUACGCUUCUUUUUCCACCGGAGCUUGCUCCACCGGAAAAAGAGGAGUGGCGAACGGGUGAGUAACACGUGGGUAACCUGCCCAUCAGAAGGGGAUAACACUUGGAAACAGGUGCUAAUACCGUAUAACAAUCGAAACCGCAUGGUUUUGAUUUGAAAGGCGCUUUCGGGUGUCGCUGAUGGAUGGACCCGCGGUGCAUUAGCUAGUUGGUGAGGUAACGGCUCACCAAGGCCACGAUGCAUAGCCGACCUGAGAGGGUGAUCGGCCACAUUGGGACUGAGACACGGCCCAAACUCCUACGGGAGGCAGCAGUAGGGAAUCUUCGGCAAUGGACGAAAGUCUGACCGAGCAACGCCGCGUGAGUGAAGAAGGUUUUCGGAUCGUAAAACUCUGUUGUUAGAGAAGAAUAAGGAUGAGAGUAACUGUUCAUCCCUUGACGGUAUCUAACCAGAAAGCCACGGCUAACUACGUGCCAGCAGCCGCGGUAAUACGUAGGUGGCAAGCGUUGUCCGGAUUUAUUGGGCGUAAAGCGAGCGCAGGCGGUUUCUUAAGUCUGAUGUGAAAGCCCCCGGCUCAACCGGGGAGGGUCAUUGGAAACUGGGAGACUUGAGUGCAGAAGAGGAGAGUGGAAUUCCAUGUGUAGCGGUGAAAUGCGUAGAUAUAUGGAGGAACACCAGUGGCGAAGGCGGCUCUCUGGUCUGUAACUGACGCUGAGGCUCGAAAGCGUGGGGAGCAAACAGGAUUAGAUACCCUGGUAGUCCACGCCGUAAACGAUGAGUGCUAAGUGUUGGAGGGUUUCCGCCCUUCAGUGCUGCAGCUAACGCAUUAAGCACUCC